UCAUCAGAUAGGAAUUCUCUUCUCACCUCAAUGUGUACUUAUUAUAAUCAUCGUGUGUAGUUUAAGCUUCAGCAUCAGCAGAAAAACAAGUCAAUUUAAUCGAUGGCAUUAACUAAAAUUAACUUCAAAGAGCUAAAAGCAUAUAAUUAAUCUAUAAAAUAAUAUUAAACGUUUAGAGUAAAUUGGAAAGGAAGGUUUUGUUUUUAUUUUUUUUUUUGCAUUUAAUGUACAUUGAGAAAUCCAUAACAAAAAUUUAAAACGUAAUUAUGAAUAAACUGCUGAUUUAUUUCUUGCUGGUGACAGUUCUCAUAUAUAAAGUUAUUUCCGUACCAACACAAACGCAAACAGAGGUUCCUCAAGAUGACGAAGAUGAAGAUUGGGACGAAGACGAUGAUUCGUCUGAAGUAGACGAUGAUGGACGUGUCUAUAAGAAUCCUAGAAAUUCACCAUCCACUGAAUGUCCAAGGGAUGAGGAACAGGCAACGCUACUCGGACAGAAAUGUCUAAGAAAAUGUUCCUCGGAUGAGGACUGUAAAAGUAAAAAGAAGAAGUGCCUAUGUGAUGGUGUCUGUGGUAUGUCCUGUAUUAAGCCAGAUAGAGAGUGUCCUGAGCUCGCGCAACCAUCACUGGGCCAAGUUACGGUCGCAGGCAGGCAUUUUGGAGCACGUGCUACAUAUUCUUGUCCUCAUGGCUAUCAUGUUGUUGGGCUACAGAGUCGCCUAUGUCAAGCUGAUGGCAAUUGGGCCGGAGCUGAACCGGCAUGUAAACAGAAUAUUUACUGUCUCAAGCCACCGCAAAUAGAGCAUGCACGUCAUUCUGCGCUACCCGAACAGGAAACCUUUGAUCUGGACUCUACCGUUCAAUACCACUGUCAUACUGGUUAUGUAACAAAUGGAUUUCCACGUGCCAAAUGUCUAGCCAUUGAUGGUCAGGCCAGCUGGUAUGGACCGGAUAUACAAUGCGAACCAAGAUCAUGUGGACAGCCGCCAGAUCCAGCUUAUGGCUGGCAUGCUGGUGAAUGUUACACUUUCGGUUGUAAAAUUAGUUACAACUGUGGUAAUACCUAUGAGUUGGUGGGUAAACAUGAACGCUACUGCCAAUCGGAUGGCUCCUGGGUGCCCAAGGAACUGCCCACAUGUGUCUUGGUCACAUCUGUUGUCUGUCCGACACCGGAAAAUCCACGAAAUGGCAAGGCUACAUACACCACCAUGGCGUACAACUCAGUGGUAAGUUAUGAAUGCCGUUACGGUUACACAUUAGUAGGAGAAAGCAGUAGUAGAUGUGGUGCUGAUCGGAAAUGGAGUGGAACCCUGCCAACUUGUAAAGAAAUCAAUUGCGGGCACCCUGGUGUACUUUACAAUGGUUGGAUUGAGAACAUCGAAGCUGGGACUGGACUUGGGGCGAGCAUCAUUUUCCGCUGUCAACCGGAAAUGUUAAUACAAGGGCAUUCGUCAAGCGUUUGCCAAAUCGAUGGCCGCUGGCGUAAUCCAUUACCCGAAUGCUUGGCACCAUGCGUUGUACCAUCCAUUUCGCAAGGUUAUGUAACACCUGUUGAAAUCAUUACUGAUGAAAAUGGCACCACCAUUAUAACGCCCACAACCACACAAUCACCCUCCACUUCGAGUAGCGGUGUUGAGAAAGUUAAACAUGGCACUGCUUUGGAGGUGAAGUGUGAUGAAAACUACGAAUUUCCUGUUUCACUUCUAAGUCCACCAACAUGUAAUAACGGUACUUGGAGUAUUAUACCGCGAUGUGUACCAGCACGUUGUAAAAAUAUGCCAAGACCACCUAAGCAUGGCAUGGUACUCGCACCGAAAACGGAACACGGCAUGAAAGCUAGAUUUAAGUGUAAAGACGGUUUCAAGCUGAUUAGUCCUGAAGGCAAGGAUGUCACAGAUCCCAAUGAAUAUGUUCUAACAUGUUCAUUCGGUAAUUGGACCGGUGAGACACCACAAUGUCAAGAAGUGUUUUGUUCGUUUCCGGGAUAUAUACCAAACGGCAAGGUAUUGCUUGUCGGAAAUAUGGGACUCUACGAUUAUAGACCAUAUGUAAAAAAGAUCGUUAAUAACAAACAAAUAAUGUAUGACUGUGAUAAAGGUUACGUUCUGGAGAUAGGACCACCGGGUGCCACCUGUGUUGGUGGCAAAUGGCGACCUCUAGAACUACCGCAAUGCUUACUUGGGCAACAUCCCCGAUUACGUUGGAAUCGUAAACGACGUUCUAUACAAAUGCGUUAUCUUCGCUCCCAAUAUUUAUUACGUAAUAAACGAGAUUUGCAACGAAAACUGGAUGAGAUAAUAAACGGCAACUUUCAACAAUCGUUAACAGCACUUAAGAGGGAUUCGGACAUAAUUAACGCCCCCAAAACACGUAUCAAACGAACUCCUUCUGAGAUCGAUCAAGCAUACUCCAAAUAUUAUCAGAAGAUCAAACAGAAAUAUCAAAAUUAUGUGAAAAAUUUACUUGGCUACAGUAGAUUGCAUAACCCGACAGAAUUCCGAAAUCCGACCAAAUUUAUACAAGUACAAGAUGGACGUUGGUACAAUACCUAUAGCAAUCCCGAUCUGGUCACACGUUACAAAGCUACACACAAGUCACGUACAUCGAAUAAUGAUUUCUUAAGUCUGGAAAAUGACGAACACGAUUUGCUAACACAUCGCUCAUCUGCCAAGAUACCACUACCUAAUAUCAAUCAAAAUUCCCGGUAUAGCGUACUUGCCAACAAACCGAAUGCCAAUGAGAAUAUACUAUACGAUAGCAACUCGGCAAGUUAUUUCUUUAACAACUUCCGCAACUUGCCGAAAACUCAAAACGAAACCGAUUUAAUAGAGCAGCUUAAGUCACAAAUUGUGCGUCGACGACGUAAGCGCAGUAUUAACAGUCCAACGACAUUGUCGCCACUUGCACCAGAUGAUGACACAAAUGAUCCGUUGGAGUCGAAGGAGGGUAGAAAGCGUUUACGUGGACCAUGUGAGGAUAUCAAUUGGGAUCAAUUCUCGAAUAUAACGGUGGUUCGACCUGGUAAAGCACCUGGUCGCAACAGUGUCGGUAUUAUGCUUUAUUUAGAAUGCAACGCUGGCUUUAAGCUAAAUAUAAAAGGUGAAAAUGCAACGGCGCGCUGCAUACGUGGCAUUUGGAAGCCUGAUACGCCUAAAUGCCUCUCAGGUAAUGUCCAGGAAACACCUUGCCUAGUACCGGCUGUCGAGAAUGGUAGAUACUUCAAAGUAGAAGCGAAUACGAAAACGCUUACCGAUAAGCCUACACUAACAGCACUGACGACCUAUGAAGAAAUUGAAUCAAACGAAUUUAUAACGCUGGAAUGUGAUGAUGGUUUUAAUAUACAGGUAAGAAAGGGUUCAGCACAGUUGCGUUGCGCUCAUGGCAGUUGGUCGGUGAAUGCAUUUUCCGAAUGUGUAUCCAUACCUUGUACACUGCCAGCGCUACCAGGCAUAAUUUAUGAGGGUGGCUACCGACCCGGACUCACAAUUGGUCACGGCAGUACGGUGAGCGCUCAUUGCGAUCACUCCACAAAUUCUAUGCCCAUUGAAAUGAGCUGUAACAAAGGGAUUUUGAGUCCACAAACAAUACACUGUGAAACAGGCCAACGCAAAUCUCGCGAGGAACUACCAUCUGAAGGGCAUAGCAAUGGAAAAUCGAAUCAUAUUAUAGCGUUAAAGAUCGAUAAUUCCGAAUCGGAGGAUGCGACAAAUGCAACGGAAGAAAAUGUCACUGAAGAAUUGAAAAUGUGUGGACCUCCGAGCAUAUCCGAUGGUGCUUUGGUAUACAAAAAUACUGAUUUGUCUGAUAUCGAAGGUGUAUACGAAAGCGGCACCGAAAUUUUCUUUAAUUGCAUACCGAGUGCUGUCGGCGAAAGGAAUACGUGGAAAAUUAUAUGCGAGAAUGGCCAAUGGAUUGGACGCUCAUACAAUUGCGCGAAUGGAACAUGCUUGUUCAAAAACAAUGAACCAAAUGUGGUUAGUUUUUACAAUGAUCUCGAAAUACGGGAAGAUGUUGUGGAAUUUCCACCCGGUGCCACAAUAAUAUCACGAUGUGUGGAUAUUGGAAAGUUUUCAAUGGUUGGCAGCAAUGAACGAACUUGUAUACAUUCCGAAUGGACAGGCAAUAAGCCAGCUUGCUAUGGAUUAAAUCAGGAAAACGACUACGCAAUGGAAAAGGCGCCGACAAUAUUGUUUAGACAUCAAAAUGGGCCGAUAGCGCAGAGUAAUGAUGGAAAGCUAAUUGUCUAUCCGGGUACAACAUUGCACAUGGAAUGUCUAUGGAUGAGACGAUUUGGCAAUCCCAAGUGGAAUGUGAGCCAUGAAUUUAGAAAUUACUCUGAGGGAUGGGUCACCGAGGCUGAUGCGGGACGCGAUGCAACACUAGAAUACCGCUUAACCAUAUUUAAUGCAAUUGAUGAAGAUACCGGUAUUUAUUCCUGUCAAACACCGGCUAGACACGAGCAUUCUGUAGAAGUGGUAGUUAAAGCCAUAAAUUGUCCAGAAAUACCACAACGGCGUGGUCUUAUUGUCAAUACGAAUGACACCAAAUUAAGUACACGCGCUUUGCUUUCGUGUGCAAAUGGAAAUUCAUUGAUUGGCGCUUCAGAACUAUUUUGUUUGCCCAGCGGCAAUUGGAGUGCUCCCCUACCAGUUUGCGAGAGUGUCGAAUGCGGCGAUAUUCCUUUGCCAAAUAAUAUCAGUUCGCCGCGUGUUGCGGUUUUAUCUCGUGAAGUCGGCGGUAGAGCAGCGUUUUCUUGUGGUUCUGGCUAUGGUUUGCGUGGUCCCGCCGAGGCUAUAUGCUUGCCGACCGGCGAAUGGGCUACACCCUUUCCAACAUGCGUUGAAGUACAAUGCGAUAAUCCCGGCGCACCACUUAAUGGUUAUGCACAAGGUUCAACGCCAUACCGUGCAGGGGAUGUUGUUCAAUUCAAUUGUAAUCCAGAGUACAUGAUGCAAGGGCAACCGAUAAUAGCAUGUCAGGAUAAUGGACGCUGGUCGAGCGUUUUGCCGAAAUGUGUACAAGCUUGUUCAUAUCCUGGCACGGCUAUCAGCGGUCGUAUGUCAUCUGUCAAAUUUUAUUAUGCAAUUGGUGAGAGUAUUACAUUUACCUGCGACGCUGGUCUUGAAUUACGUGGUGCUAAGGUGCUUAAAUGUUUAAAAAAUGGAAAGUGGUCGAACGCUAUACCAACAUGUGUCACUGCUGAUCAAGUGAACAAACAUCAGAAUAUAAUGGGUUAAUGUGAAAAACGUGAAAUUACUAUAUCUCUAUAGAGAAUAUACAAUUUUUCGAUUCCUUCCGAAUGGAAAUUAAAAACAUGUCGAUUGGAUUGUAAACGCAUAGCGCUUUUAAUAAAAUAUUGCGGUUGGCGAUAAUUCUAAUUUAAUUAGUUCUAAAAGACAAUAUUUAAUAGUUCAGUACUUUUAAUAAACGCAUUGAUAGCCAUUAA
rnacentral:misc_RNA from 1 species